GGGGGGGGGGGGGGGGGGGGGUGGGGCGGGGGGGGCGGGCGGGGAGGCGGUGCUGGCACCGGGGGUUAGUGGCGGACGGGUGAGUAAUACGUGAGUGACCUACCUUUGCCGCUGGGAUAAGCCGGGGAAACUGGGGCUAGUACCGGAUACGACCAAUCUCUGCAUGGGGUGUGGGUGGAAAGCGUUAUGGGGUGGUUUUCGAUGGGCUCACGGCCUAUCAGCUUGUUGGUGGGGGAAUGGCUUACCAAGGCGACGACGGGUAGCCGGCCUUAGAGGGUGACCGGCCAAACUGGGAAUGAGAAACGGCCCAGACUCCUACGGGAGGCAGAAGUGGGGAAUAUUGCACAAUGGGCGCAAGCCUGAUGCAGCGACGCCGAGUGAGGGAUGACGGCCUUCGGGUUGUAAACCUCUGUUAGCAUCGAAGAAGCGAAAGUGACGGUAGGUGCAGAGAAAGCGCCGGCUAACUACGUG
rnacentral:rRNA from 1 species